rnacentral:lncRNA from 1 species
GUUGGAAGUGGAACUGACAGGAUGUGCAGGUGCAGAAGCGGGAGAUGGGGGCUUCCAGGCGGGUAACCUUAGAAUGUGGUGACAGCGGAUAAAAACGGAACAUAAGUUUACCAUUGCAUUUAUAAUGCAAAGUAGAAGGGAGACUUUCACUUGCUGAACGACAUGAGGUUGAUUAAAUCUGUGCAAGGCGCCUCAUAAAGCCACUUGGCAUACCCGAAACCGAAUGAAAUGAUAAGCAGCCGGAGUGCAACAGAUUACCGGUCUGGCUUAGGGGAUCAUGGCUACUCCAGAGAGACUCAGCGGCCUGCUGAGAUUCAGAAACUCCUUGUGGAAUUCCGGACCCUUUACCACGAGCGCCUUCGACGCAUUGACCAAUCGGAUGACAGCCGGGAGGAGGCUCUGCAGAGCAAGGUGGGCGUGCUACAGUCGUUUGUGCGGGACCUGAGUGAGCAGAAUGAGGUUCUGAUCCAGGCGCUGGAGGCUGAGGAGGCGGAGGGCCGGGCGGUGGAGGGGAGAACAGUCAGCUUACACAAAGAGCUGGAGGUGGAGGAGCGUGAAGCCCAGGUCCAGGAGCUGCAGGACACCAUCACAGAGCUGCACCUGGAGAUGACCAGGAAGGACCAGGACAAGCUGACACAGCUGCAGGAGCUCCACCAGCUGGAGAGCAGGGUGAAGCAGCUCACUGACCAGGUCAGGAGCUCUGAGGAGACCAUUGGCCAGCUGAGACAGGAGGUGGCUGUUAGAGUGGGCAUCAGCAGCGCAACCCUGUGUGGGGGCGUGAGUACAGCAGGGAAAGUGGGUUAAAGCACAGUGUUCAUGCAUAUACUGUACAUGUACUGUUAUACGUUCCACAGGACAUGAUCUACUACCUGACCUACGUUUUAUAUAGGCUGUAAGGUCUAACAAUGCAUCAGUGAACAUAUAAUGAACUUGGAUCCACUCUGGGCUUUUCAAGUCUUAAAUUUUCAUCCAAAUGUCAUUUCUCUGUGCAAACAAGUACAUUACUAUAUGAUAGAAAAUGAUUGAAAUGUAAGCUAGUCCUAUAAAGUUCCAGUUAUAUUGUGUUCAUUUUCUCUAUUCUAAGACUCAUUACAUUUCAUCAGUCAUCCUGUUGUUAUUAACAUUCCUGUACAAGCCUACGCAUUCACACAUAAAUCACAUUAAACCCUCAUUUCCAGAUGAAUGCGUCCGUACAUGGUGACUCAGUCUCUCACACGGUCUGUCUGUAUGGUCUGUCUGUAUGGUCUGUCUAUGUGGUGUCAUGGGUUGGAGAUCAGGAUUUCCCCUGUAGAGCUGUAGAUCUUUGAGACCAGUGUUUGUUGAGAGGGGCUCUAAUGAUGGCACAUGUGGCCUGGGUUCUGAUGGCCCCAAUGUGGGAGUCAGGGCCAGCCUG